rnacentral:lncRNA from 1 species
UCACACUUGUACAGUUUCCCUCCAAUAUGAAUUUUCUUAUGUGAAAAAAGCAUAGUGGGAUAGCUUAAAGCUUUGCCACAUUCCUCACAUUUAUAGUUUCUCUCCAGUAUGAAUUACCUUAUGUGUAGUAAGGGUAGAGGGGCACUUAAAGCCUUUGCCACAUUCUUCACAUUUGUAGGGUUUCUCUCCAUAUGAAUUCUCUUAUGUGUAGUAAGGUGUGAGGACCAGUUGAAGGCUUUGCCACAUUCUUCACAUUUGUAGGGUUUCUCUCCACUAUGAAUUAUCUUGUGUGUAGUAAGGGAUGAGAAGUACUUAAAGGCUCUGCCACAUUCUUCACAUUUGUAGGGUUUCUCUCCAGUAUGAAUUCUUUUAUGUGUAGUAAGGACAGAGGGGUGCUUAAAGGCUUUGCCACAUUCUUCACAUUUGUAGGGUUUCUCUCCGCUAUGAAUUAUCUUAUGCGCAGUAAGGAUAGAGGAGCGCUUAAAGGCCUUGCCACAUUCUUCACAUUUGUAGGGUUUCUCUCCAGUAUGAAUUAUCUUAUGUGUAGUAAGGUUAGAGGAGCGCUUAAAGGCCUUGCCACAUUCUUCACAUUUGUAGGGUUUCUCUCCACUAUGAAUUAUC